rnacentral:rRNA from 1 species
UACAGAGGUCUCGAGCGUUAGGCGGAAUCACUGGGCUUAAAGCGUGUGUAGGUGGAUCGUUAAGUACCUUGUGAAAUCCCACGGCUUAACCGCGGAACUGCUUGGUAUACUGGCGGUCUUGAGCCAGCUAGGGGCUACCGGAACAAAUGGUGGAGCGGUGAAAUGCGUAGAUAUCAUUUGGAACGCCAAUGGUGAAAACAGGUAGCUGGGGCUGUGCUGACACUGAGACACGAAAGCCAGGGGAGCAAACGGG